GACGAACGCUGGCGGCGUGCUUAACACAUGCAAGUCGAACGCUGAAGCUUAGCUUGCUGGGUGGAUGAGUGGCGAACGGGUGAGUAACACGUGAGUAACCUGCCCUCUUCUUUGGGAUAACGCCCGGAAACGGGUGCUAAUACUGGAUAUUCACUGAUUCUCGCAUGGGGGUUGGUGGAAAGGUUUUUUCUGGUGGGGAUGGGCUCGCGGCCUAUCAGCUUGUUGGUGGGGUGAUGGCCUACCAAGGCUUUGACGGGUAACCGGCCUGAGAGGGUGACCGGUCACAUUGGGACUGAGAUACGGCCCAGACUCCUACGGGAGGCAGCAGUGGGGAAUAUUGCACAAUGGGCGAAAGCCUGAUGCAGCGACGCCGCGUGAGGGAUGGAGGCCUUCGGGUUGUAAACCUCUUUCGCUCAUGGUCAAGCCGCAGCUUUGGGUUGUGGUGAGGGUAGUGGGUAAAGAAGCGCCGGCUAACUACGUG
rnacentral:rRNA from 1 species